rnacentral:rRNA from 1 species
UACGUAGGGUGCGAGCGUUGUUCGGAAUUACUGGGCGUAAAGCGCGUGUAGGCGGCUAAGUAAGUCGGGCGUGAAAUCCCACGGCUCAACCGUGGAAGUGCACUCGAAACUGCAUAGCUAGAGUCCUGGAGAGGAAGGUGGAAUGCUUGGUGUAGAGGUGAAAUUCGUAGAUAUCAAGCGGAACACCGGUGGCGAAGGCGGCCUUCUGGACAGUGACUGACGCUGAGACGGCGAAAGCGUGGGGAGCAAACAGG